UCUAGGAGCAGGGUUCAUUACACAGGUGAGGCUUUGGCUCUGAUAUCAGGACACAGCCUGCAGGUGGAAUUGGGACUCUCAUGCAUGGAUUCAGUCCAUCAUUGAGAUCGUGACUCAUGUACUUGGAUGCAACUCACAGGAGGCCAUGCCAGUUGAGGGGGAUUGUGACAUAUCAUUGGACCAGCACAAGGGAAAUUGAAAACUCCUGCCUAGGCCAUUCCCAUAGAAGGCAUUGUGACAUAUCACUGGUCACAGCACACAGGUGAGAAUUUUACAUAAAACUGCACCCAGCACACAGGUGAAAUUGUGACUCUUGGAUGCUCAUCCAGCCAACAGUUAUGAGUGUCAUCAUUGCACAUGGACAGAGAACUCUGGUGAGGUCCUGAAUCUUGUACACAGACACAGUCCAGUCCACAGUUGGAAUUUUGACUGUCAUGUGUAGAUCCAGCCACAGGUGUGAUGUUGACCUGUUUAUGGAGUUAGCUCACAGGCACAGUGAGAACUCUCAUAUCUUGACCCAGUCAAUAAAAGAGAUGCUGACUCUUAUAGCUAGGC